rnacentral:rRNA from 1 species
AUGGUGAACCUGGGUACCGCUCUUCUCUGUCUUAGCCCGCAAGCCUUUAUCAUCUAUUCUCUGCUUGCUGUUGUAGGGAAUACUGAAGCAGCAGGUGUUUGGGUCCAACAAGGUUGCCCACCGUUCUCUUGUGGGCAUCUGCAAGGCAUUCAGUACCCAUUCCGUCAGAAAGGGGAUCCAUCAGAGUGCGGUGUUCAAUCAUAUGAGAUUAUUUGUAGUGAUGCCAGAGCCAUAAUUCGCAUCAACACAGGAAGAUACUAUGUGACCAACAUCUUCUAUAAUAAUUCCACUUUCUGGGCAGUUGACGCUAAUGCGGGCAAUAGCAGUUGCCCCGUUCCUCGAUGGGAUCAGCUCCCCUAUUCAUCCAGUGGAGUGAGUGGUUCAGAUGGAAACAUCGAAUUGGCCACUGUCAAAGAUGCUAUGUGGGUUCUGUUUGUUAACUGCUCCAAGGUAAUAAACAGUCCCACCACUAGUUAUGCGGGUUGGUAUGGCUACUCUCCUGUUACCUGCCACAGUGCCAAGAAUUCAUUUGUUUAUGCCGUGCGCCUGAAUCUCGAAUUAGGCCAGUUGUCUGAUACGGUUGAAAGUGUUCCGCCUUCCUGUGGAUACUUGGGCAUCAUACUUGCUGGUGAUUCGAGGCAGAGGUAUAUACUAUCUAGUGAUGACGAUGUUGUAGAUGUCAGGGCAAUUGCAAGGUUUGGAUUUGCUGUUCGAUUCCCUUUCACAGCUAGGCAAUGGAAAUUGUCAAAGAUUAUCACCACAUGCCUGGCAGAUUCAAUUCGUCAUUUCAAGGCCCAAUUUAAUGGUGCAAGCAUCUGGGGCAAGGGUAGCUCUGUCAUUUGGAGUGAGAUGUAUUUCUUAAGAUGUGUAUACAGCAACUCCGGUCGACCUGAAUUGUAUUGGCCUAUACUAGGCCUACUAUCAGCAAUAGAGAUUGUGAAGUACAUUAUUGUACUUGCAAUACUGCUGAGGUUUGUGCUGGCACCAUUAGCAGUAUGGAUUUUCCUCGCUCAUAGAUACUGGAAAACACGGAUAACAAUCGAUGCUGUUGAGAAGUUUCUCCAAAUGCAGGAGACAGUGGGACCAAUGAGAUUUGCAUACACAGAUAUCGUUGCAAUCACAAGCCACUUUGGACAUAAGCUGGGCCAAGGGGGCUACGGUUCUGUGUACAGAGGCAUGCUCCCUGGUGAUGUCAAUCUAGCCGUCAAGAUUCUGUGCAGAUCCAUGUGCAAUGGAGAAGAUUUCAUCAGCGAGGUCUCCACCAUCGGCCAGAUCCAUCAUGUGAAUGUUGUGCGUCUUGUGGGAUAUUGUUCAGAGGAACCAAGGAGGGCACUUGUGUAUGAAUACAUGCCCAAGGGGUCUCUUGAUAAGUACAUUUUCUCAGGCAAGAAGCGUUUCUCAUGGGACAACUCAGUGAGAUAG